rnacentral:SRP_RNA from 2 species
CGUUCGUCCCUUCGCAACACAACGCCGUGAACCCGGUCAGGUCCGGAAGGAAGCAGCCGCAGCGGUUGCAGUGAGUGCCGGAGUGUGGCGGGCGUGG